GCCAGCGUGGCGUAACGGUUUGAGUGCUGGAGUAUGACUCUGGAGGCCAGGGUUGAAAUCCCGGCUCAGCCA
rnacentral:tRNA from 1 species